UUGCCUUCUUUGUCCAGUCAGUUCUUCAGAAUCUCGUCCUCAGCACGAAAAGCAGCGUCGACACUGGGCGUCUGUGGAAGCUUCAGGAACAAAAAGGAGAGCGCUCGUGGAGAGGCGGAGCCGGGAGCAGCUUGUCUGCGCCUGCGCGGAAGGCUGACAGGGCGGGAAGCUCAGGGAGAGAAGCUCACAAGCGGGAAGCCCGCAGGGCGGGGCAGGAGAAGGUUGCCUAGUUCUGUUCAAGGCGGUCAUGGGUCACAAAGUAGGCCUUGUGGAGUAGCCUAACCCUAAGUCAUAAUGCCUGUGUCACUUAUUUUAAUUCAUCUCAUCGCGUAGGCAUUGUAUCAUCUCAUAUCACCGCACAACAGCGACUAUUUUUUAAUUGGCUAGAAGAAAACAGUCCAUUCCCUCAACAAUUUGAGAAUCUUCUCAGGAUCCUGAGCCAAACUCAAAAUGGAAAUCUUACACACUCUACAAACUGUUAUUUUAAAUACCUUGAAAAUAUUUAUUCUGUAUAUCCCACCAAGAAUACAAAUUGAAAAGAACAAUUGCAGACACAAAUAAAUUAA